GAGCUUGCUCUCUGGGUGGCGAGUGGCGGACGGGUGAGGAAUACAUCGGAAUCUACUUUUUCGUGGGGGAUAACGUAGGGAAACUUACGCUAAUACCGCAUACGACCUACGGGUGAAAGCAGGGGACCUUCGGGCCUUGCGCGAUUGAAUGAGCCGAUGUCGGAUUAGCUAGUUGGCGGGGUAAAGGCCCACCAAGGCGACGAUCCGUAGCUGGUCUGAGAGGAUGAUCAGCCACACUGGAACUGAGACACGGUCCAGACUCCUACGGGAGGCAGCAGUGGGGAAUAUUGGACAAUGGGCGCAAGCCUGAUCCAGCCAUACCGCGUGGGUGAAGAAGGCCUUCGGGUUGUAAAGCCCUUUUGUUGGGAAAGAAAUCCAGCCGGCUAAUACCUGGUUGGGAUGACGGUACCCAAAGAAUAAGCACCGGCUAACUUCGUGCCAGCAGCCGCGGUAAUACGAAGGGUGCAAGCGUUACUCGGAAUUACUGGGCGUAAAGCGUGCGUAGGUGGUUGUUUAAGUCUGUUGUGAAAGCCCUGGGCUCAACCUGGGAACUGCAGUGGAAACUGGACAACUAGAGUGUGGUAGAGGGUAGCGGAAUUCCCGGUGUAGCAGUGAAAUGCGUAGAGAUCGGAGGAACAUCCAUGGCGAAGGCAGCUACCUGGACCAACACUGACACUGAGGCACGAAAGCGUGGGGA
rnacentral:rRNA from 1 species